UACGUAGGGUGCGAGCGUUAAUCGGAAUUACUGGGCGUAAAGCGUGCGCAGGCGGUGAGGUAAGACAGAUGUGAAAUCCCCGGGCUCAACCUGGGAACUGCAUUUGUGACUGCAUCGCUGGAGUGCGGCAGAGGGGGAUGGAAUUCCGCGUGUAGCAGUGAAAUGCGUAGAUAUGCGGAGGAACACCGAUGGCGAAGGCAAUCCCCUGGGCCUGCACUGACGCUCAUGCACGAAAGCGUGGGGAGCAAACAGG
rnacentral:rRNA from 1 species